AAAGCUAACACUGAUCUCUAACAUGGUUACUUCAAAUGAAACAAUAAAUCAACAUCUAAACCUUAGUUAAUUCUCAAUAAGAUCUUCUGUAGAUGUCUGACAUAAAUAAAGUCAUUCUGGUUAUUAAUAAGUGGAGCUGGAGAUGCUGUUUGUGGAGUUGUUUAAUCAGAUCUUGAGAGAUUUAAUGACGUCUUGUAUUUCAGUUGAUUUCAUCUUUGUCUGUGUCUGAAGUUAGUUGUAGUUCUUGUGUUUCUCUUUUCUUCAGGAUUCUGUUUGUUAACAGCAGCUGUUCAUCACUAAUGCUCAAUCAGCACUUAAUUAAUCACUUGUUAAUUGCAACGGUUUAAAACUUACAUGGUUUAUGUCAAGGCAAUCUGAUUCUGUUUACUCAAACGUUUGAGUUACAUGACUUGUCAGGUUUUACAGUGUAAUCACAGACAGAGCAUUAUAGGUGUAAACAAAUUGAAAGCUCACAAUAGAAAGGCAACGACAGAUCAGCUGUUCAUCUAGACAAGCAGCACUACCUGUUCUUCACACAUAUAACAGAACCUGUUUCUCCAUAAACCUUUAAUUACUGCAAACCACAGAAUGUUUUUUGUUUAUGUGAAUUUUAACACACCUUUCCACACCUUACAGUUUGAACCUGCUCAGCUGAGUAUUUCACAGAGGUGUUGCUGUGUUUUAUGUUUUUCAGGAAACCUUGUCACAUUUACUAACAUGACACAUCUGAAAAAUCAGACAAAAGCAUGACAUGCACUAGGAAAAACUUAUUACAGAGACUAAUGUUAGAGAAGGUGACCUCCUUUGCAUAAAAGUGUAUUGAGAGAUUGUUUGACCUUUUUUUUGGUCAAAAAGUAAAAUCUGAAAUAGACGAACGUGCAAACCAAAAAGGAUGUAGUUCCAUAAUGAUGAUCAAAUAAUGAAAUAAUUUUUAUUUUCCUAAGACACUGCAGUUACAGCUACAUUAAAUUCCUAAGUAUGCACUCAAUCAGCAAUCAUAUAAUAAUGCAACACAGGUUAAGUGUAGCUUAAGUACAUUCCCAAUAAUGAAAAUACAAAUAUAGUCAACUACUGUACUUCUGGGGUAUUAUAGCUGAAGUUUAUUGCAAGACACAUUAAUGUCAGUGCAGCACAAAUUUAGAUCAGCUCUGAUAACAGAACCACAGUUGCAGUUACUGGAACUCUUCAAACUAAAGGACAGAUAUAUUUGAAUUGAUGCUCAUCUGUCCUGAUGUGUGGUGCUAUAUCUACAUCUCUUCUCUGUGUCUCUCUUAUUUCUCUCACUUUCAGUUCUGAACACAAAGUAGUUUUGGUAAGAAAUCAGAACCAGUCCUACAUUUACCUUAGAAAAUUGAGGGCAUUUUUUCA
ensembl:lncRNA